GACGAACCGUGCGAACGUUGUUCGGAUUUACUGGGCGUAAAGGGCGCGUAGGCGGCGCAACAAGUCACUUGUGAAAUCUCCGGGCUUAACCCGGAGCGGCCAAGUGAUACUGUCGUGCUAGAGUGCGGAAGGGGCUACUGGAAUUCUCGGUGUAGCGGUGAAAUGCGUAGAUAUCGGGAGGAACACCAGUGGCGAAGGCGACUUCCUGGCCUGUUCUUGACGCUGAGGCGCGAAAGCUAGGGUAGCAAACGGG
rnacentral:rRNA from 1 species